GACGAACGUUGGCGGCGUGCUUAACACAUGCAAGUCGAACGGAAAGGCCCUGCUUUUGUGGGGUGCUCGAGUGGCGAACGGGUGAGUAACACGUGAGUAACCUGCCCUUGACUUUGGGAUAACUUCAGGAAACUGGGGCUAAUACCGGAUAGGAGCUCCUGCUGCAUGGUGGGGGUUGGAAAGUUUCGGCGGUUGGGGAUGGACUCGCGGCUUAUCAGCUUGUUGGUGGGGUAGUGGCUUACCAAGGCUUUGACGGGUAGCCGGCCUGAGAGGGUGACCGGCCACAUUGGGACUGAGAUACGGCCCAGACUCCUACGGGAGGCAGCAGUGGGGAAUAUUGCACAAUGGGCGGAAGCCUGAUGCAGCAACGCCGCGUGCGGGAUGCCGGCCUUCGGGUUGUAAACCGCUUUCGCCUGUGACGAAGCGUGAGUGACGGUAAUGGGUAAAGAAGCACCGGCUAACUACGUGCCAGCAGCCGCGGUGAUACGUAGGGUGCGAGCGUUGUCCGGAUUUAUUGGGCGUAAAGGGCUCGUAGGUGGUUGAUCGCGUCGGAAGUGUAAUCUUGGGGCUUAACCCUGAGCGUGCUUUCGAUACGGGUUGACUUGAGGAAGGUAGGGGAGAAUGGAAUUCCUGGUGGAGCGGUGGAAUGCGCAGAUAUCAGGAGGAACACCAGUGGCGAAGGCGGUUCUCUGGGUCUUUCCUGACGCUGAGGAGCGAAAGCGUGGGGAGCGAACAGGCUUAGAUACCCUGGUAGUCCACGCUGUAAACGGUGGGUACUAGGUGUGGGGUCCAUUCCACGGGUUCCGUGCCGUAGCUAACGCUUUAAGUACCCCGCCUGGGGAGUACGGCCGCAAGGCUAAAACUCAAAGGAAUUGACGGGGCCCCGCACAAGCGGCGGAGCAUGCGGAUUAAUUCGAUGCAACGCGUAGAACCUUACCUGGGUUUGACAUGGAUCGGGAGUGCUCAGAGAUGGGUGUGCCUCUUUUGGGGUCGGUUCACAGGUGGUGCAUGGCUGUCGUCAGCUCGUGCCGUGAGAUGUUGGGUUAAGUCCCGCAACGAGCGCAACCCUUGUUCACUGUUGCCAGCACGUUAUGGUGGGGACUCAGUGGAGACCGCCGGGGUCAACUCGGAGGAAGGUGGGGAUGACGUCAAGUCAUCAUGCCCCUUAUGUCCAGGGCUUCACGCAUGCUACAAUGGCUGGUACAGAGAGUGGCGAGCCUGUGAGGGUGAGCGAAUCUCGGAAAGCCGGUCUCAGUUCGGAUUGGGGUCUGCAACUCGACCUCAUGAAGUCGGAGUCGCUAGUAAUCGCAGAUCAGCAACGCUGCGGUGAAUACGUUCCCGGG
rnacentral:rRNA from 1 species